UACGGAGGAUCCAAGCGUUAUCCGGAAUCAUUGGGUUUAAAGGGUCCGUAGGCGGCCCAGUAAGUCAGUGGUGAAAUCUCCCGGCUCAACCGGGAAAUGGCCAUUGAUACUGCUGGGCUUGAAUUACCAGGAAGUAACUAGAAUAUGUAGUGUAGCGGUGAAAUGCUUAGAUAUUACAUGGAAUACCAAUUGCGAAGGCAGGUACUACUGGUUGAUUGACGCUGAUGGACGAAAGCGUGGGUAGCGAACAGGAUUAAGACUAC
rnacentral:rRNA from 1 species